AGUCUCGUGGUGUAGUGGCUAUCACGUUCGCCUCACACGCGAAAGGUCCUGGGUUCGAUCCCCAGCGGGACUA